rnacentral:rRNA from 1 species
AAUGAACGCUGGCGGCAGGCCUAACACAUGCAAGUCGAGCGGAGUGGCGGACGGGAGCGUAUGGCUUAGGCAUCAGCAUGGUCGUGGGGGAUAACGUCCGGCAACGGGCACUAAUACCGCAUACUUUCAGUCGAUCUUAGGGCGGAUUAGCUAGUUGGUGGGGUAAAGGCCUACCAUGGCGACGAUCCGUACCUGGCCUGAGAGGAUGAUCAGUCACAUUGGAACUGAGACACGGUCCAGACUCCUACGGGAGGCAGCAGUGGGGAAUAUUGGACAAUGGGCGAAAGCCUGAUCCAGCCAUGCCGCGUGUGUGAAGAAGGUCUUCGGAUUGUAAAGCACUUUAAGUUGGGAGGCGUUACCAGCAGGAUAAGCACCGGCUAACUUCGUGCCAGCAGCCGCGGUAAUAC